rnacentral:pre_miRNA from 1 species
UGAUGAUGACGAUGAUGAUGAUGGUGAGGAUGAUGAUUAUGUAGCUAUUCCGACGAUAACGGGAGAAGAUAAGCAGUCGUGGCAUCAUCAUCAUCAUCAUCAUCAUCAUCAUCAUCA